rnacentral:rRNA from 1 species
GUGGAUUAGAUACCCGGGUAGUCCACGCCGUAAACGAUGUCAACUAGCCGUUGGGAGUCUUGAACUCUUAGUGGCGCAGCUAACGCAUUAAGUUGACCGCCUGGGGAGUACGGCCGCAAGGUUAAAACUCAAAUGAAUUGACGGGGGCCCGCACAAGCGGUGGAGCAUGUGGUUUAAUUCGAAGCAACGCGAAGAACCUUACCAGGCCUUGACAUCCAAUGAACUUUCUAGAGAUAGAUUGGUGCCUUCGGGAACAUUGAGACAGGUGCUGCACGGUCGUCGCCAGCU